UAAGUGUGCAGUGCCGGGGCAUUAAGCAUAUUCACACUGCUGUGCCUCCCCCCCCCCCGUCAUCUCCAGAACUGAGUCCCUGUCCCCAUGGAACGCUGACCCCCAGCCCCUCCCCCGCCCCGGGGCGCCACACUCUAACUCCCGUCUGUUUGGCUCUCAGGACGAGGUGUCUUCCGCAAGGGGCAUGACGCAGAAUCUGUCUUUUGCGACUGGCUUGUCUCACUUGGCAUGAUGCCUUUAAGGUUCAUGCACAUUGUAGACCGUGUCAGAAUCUCCUCUUUCCAAGGCUGAAUGAUCCUGCAGUGUAUGUACAGACCAUGUUUUGUUCACCUGGGAAUGGACACGUGGGUCGCUUCCGCCUUUGGCUGUUGUGAUGAACGCUGCUGUGAACGUGGGAGUGCAAAUCUGUCUGAGACCCUGAUUUCAGUUCUUUGGGGUAAAUACCCAGAAGCGGGAUCGCCAGAUGAUGUGGUAAUUGUGCUUCAUUUUGAGGAACCACCACAUUGCUUCCACAGAGGCAGCUCUAUUUACAUUCCCACCAACGGUGCCCAAGGGUUUCGGUUUCUCCACAUCCUCACCAACACUUGUUAUUUUCGGUUUUUUUCCACCAUGGCUAUCCUUGUGGGUGGGAGGUGGUACCUCCAGGCGUCUGAAGCACGCGGGGUCUGGUGCAGCAAUGAGUACUCAGAAGAUCACUGGGAGGCUGCAGAGGCCCCGGCGGGCAGUACCAGUGACACGCACCUCCCAGGGCUCUGCCCCGCAGCUCAGCAGCCCGAGAUCAGACACUGGGGCACCGGUGCAGAAAGCCCUGCGUGCCUGUGGUCCUGUCCGAUGGCAGAACACAGCCCAGAACAGCAAGGCGAUGCCCCCCGCCCUCCGCCUCCGUCAUCUCACGUAGCAUGUUUACCCCACGGACCCGAACGUGCGCCCGGGGCGCCUGCCACACGCCCUCUAGGCCCGGGGGCACCACCAGGAGAUGGAACGGGUGGGGAGGGCAGCACCGUGCUGGUGCAGCAGGGCUACUGUCAACAUCCCCUAGGAACCCGCUCCCGCCACACUGGCCUGCAGACCUGCCCGGCGGCUGCCUCCUGCCAGAGGCCCCUGCACGUGUCAGUCCCUCCUGGAACGUCCUCGGCCUCCACGUAGCAUGGGAGCGUCUACUCAGCUGAAACACGUCACUUUCUCAUAGCAGUUUUAUUCAUAGGAGGUGAAAAUUAGAACAGCCCAAAUACCCGCCAGCAGGAGAAGGUAGCCAGCGCCGUGCGGACGUUACACGCAGCGAGAAAGCCCCUCUCGGCACUGCAUGCGGCGGCCGCAGGCCUCACACACAGAGCUGCGGGGGAGAAGCCAGGCCCAGGCUUGGUCUUUGUGAGGCUCAGAAAGAAGCAGUCAGUACCCGUGGAGGGAGGGGAGGGGGCAGGGAGGAGUGGUCCUGUGGGGGAGGGGCACAGGGCGCCUCUGGGGUUGGAAGCUGUCUGCAACACGGUCAGGGCGUGGUUGUGCGCGUGUGCACGUGGGUACAGGCUCAGAAGCUGUGUGCCUGAAAUGUGUGUCCUUUGCACAGUACAAAGUGAAAGCAAAGCAGGUUCUCUUCUCUGGGAAGCCUUUUCCCAAAACUAGAACAAAUGCCCCACCGUGAGGGGCCAGGUCUGGGCAGCCUCCUCCAGGGCUCUGUGAUGGUGCCUGUGGUCUGCUCCCCCUCGCCGCAGUCGUCUCUGUCCCCCCAGUACCUGUUUCUGGAGGACCCCCGCGAGGGGGGUGCACCCGGUCCUGCAACCAGCAUGCUCUCUGGCACCAGCAGUGUGGCUCGUGCUUGCAAUGUGAGCGCCAAACCCAGAGCUGAGAGGGAGCUCACAGACUUGCAGCUGAUUAAUCUGGUAGCCCAGCUGAGCCGAGAGGCCAGGGAAGGCAGCUUUGUGAAACAGAACCACCCCCGCCUGCCACUCUUCUUCAUAAAACUGCACCACGCUCCACUAGCUUCUCCAAAAAAAAGACAAAGAAUCUUUUCACCUUGAAGUCUCACCACUUAUGAUCCUUAAAAUCAUGUGCACGUAACAUUUAUGUAACUGUGUUCAUGUGACACAUAAGGCUUGGAGGCUGCCAGUACAUCCAGGGGCAGAGGACAUGUGUGUCGGGGGCGGAGGAGGAGGGAGAGGUGGGGGGCUGCUGGGCCUGGUCUGCCUGCAGCCCCACAGUCUAGAAACUGCUGAGGACGGGCAGUGACCGCUCAGCGCUCAUCUGGCCUGGGACUCUGCUCUCAUGCCAGUGGGGUAUUCACUGCGUCCUAGAGGCAAAGCCAGGCCCAUAGAGAGGCAGAUGGCUGAGGAUAGAGACCAGCUUUCAAAUGAUUAGAGGAGUGACCUUGAGAGGUGGUGAGCCCCCUGUCCCCAGAUGUAUGCAAGUAGGGACUAAAAGACCCUUGGUGAGGGAUACCAUGAUGGGAAGAGGAUGGGGGCUCUUGGAGGAUCUCAGGGGCCCGGGAGUGUUGUGUCCACAUUUUUUGAAACCCUUCGCCCUUCCUGAAGGAGUCAUGCUCGCCAGGCUGCCUGCGACUACAGAGUCUUGGGAGGCAGGGUCCGGGAGGGGCCUUCAAAGUGCUGUUCCCACCCAGACAGUGGCCGCGGGAGCUCCUGGGCGCAGGCUCCACGGGAGGGCGGUCCCCGGCACAGCCCUUCGGCAGGAGAGCUGUGUUAACGUGGGCUCUGGAGCCCAACUGUCUGGCUCCAGCUCGUGUGGGAGGCGGGACGGGACCCAGAUUGAGGAAGUUUCGAUGGGCCUUUCCCACGUUCAGGAAGGAGGGGCCUCCCAUCCCGACACCCCCUCCUAACUUGAACCAGCACCCUCCCUGUGGGGUGUCUGCUGUGUGCCAGUACCAUUUCAGUAGCUCACUGAAUCCUCCCGGCCCUUCUGUGAUGCCUCCUCUCAUUUUACGGGUAAGGAAAUGGAGGCCAGAGUGGUUCAUUAACUUGCUCAAGGUCACACAGCCAGUAAGUGGUAGAAUCCAGGAAAGCUGGGAUUUGUGGGGGCUCCAGCUCUGUGUGCCUGUGGGCGAGCCGGUGGACUUCAGCCUCCACAUCUGCUGCAACGGGGCCCACGAGACCCCAGGCCCUCCCAGUGGUGCCUUCUGGAACAGCAGGCGCGUCCAUGAUGUCGGCCCCUUCACUCUAGGGAGAAGCUGGUCCCGCCUGGUUAGUGUGGGGUCAGCCCGCAGACCCCUCCAGCCCAGCCUUUCCUGGGCCCCUCAGCGGGCUGGCUCUCCAGGGGGCCGGGGUUCACACACCCGGACAGGAUGAUCACAGCUGCGUGUCUGCUUCCUGGCGACGUCACCAGGACAAGGGCCAGAAGGGUCUGAGGCUCAUCCUGGGAGGGGCACUGGGGCAGGCACCCCUGCAGGGCGGGACUCGGGCUGCAUGUACAGUAGGCAUCCAGCAGGUGCCUGUGGGGUUGUUGACUGAGCAAGGGAGGAACACACGCUUCGGCAGAAGUCGUCUGGGUCAGGAACACUUGAACAGCUCCCGUUCCUUCCUCGGGCCUCAGUCUCCCCACCGGGCCUCCCGGGUGCGGAGGGCACAGCGAGGCACGUGUUCAGUGGACGCUGCAAUGCUCACCCCACCCACGGGGGCCCUGCCAUCAGGACUGUGCACCCCGCCCCAUGGCCUCCGCGUGUGCUUCCCUGCAGGGCUCACUCCGCACCCUCGCUGGGCACCUGGGGCAGAGCCGUAGGGCCUCAGCUGAUGACCAUCAGGGCAGGGUCUGGACGCCCAGGCCCCCCUCAGCACCUCCUGAGCUGGAAUUUCUGCUCCGAGCCUCCUGCAGUUUCUGAUUUUAUUCUCCUGAAUAAACCACUCACACUCAAGUAUUUGUCUGGGUGGCGGCUUCCAGAAUCACCUGAGACGCAGGCAUGAAUCUGCCCCCACAGAACCUGAGCCCACCUGACACUACUGCGUAACAGAACCUUUCCUAUCUCAUCUCAGAAAAAGCACCUGCAGUUAACAGACUGUGGGUUUACCUGUGGUUUUGGGGGAGAGGCCCGUGCCCUUCCCAAGUGUGUGCUGCUUGGUGCUAAUGACGGUGGAGAACCAGUAACAUCAGUGAAGCCUGUUUAAAGCAUUUUGUUUCAGAAAUCAAACUCACUUGCUUCUGGGAGUUGCUAGUGUUGGAGAGUUCCUUGUCUUUCAGAAUCCCAAACAAGGCAGAAGAAAACUGGGCCUGAAUGUUGAGCAAGAGCCUGCUCAUGGCCUGUCAAUAUCUGGCCUCCUCUUGUCUCACCGUGACCAGGUAAGCAUGUGAAAGACUACGUUUCCUGCUCCUCCAGCGGAUAGGAUGGCUAAUGAGAUAUAGGCAGAAGUUGUCGGGCAGGCCUUCCAGUAAUGCUCCAAAAGCCCCUUUUAUCCUCUUCUUUUUCCUUCCUGCCUGGAACACAUGCAUGAUGGCUGGCACUCCAGUGGCCAUUUUGUGACCUUGAGGAUGGAUCAAAACUCUACAUAUGGCAGAGAGAGAGCAGACUGUGGGUUCCUGAUGGCACUCUAGAACUACGGUACCUGCCCUGGGAGUCCCGGACUUCUUUGACUUGUGGCAGGAGAAAACCUCUGUUUCAUCUAAGCCACUAUUUUCCAGGUCUCUGCUACCUGUACCUAGAUUCAAUUCCUAACUAACAUAGAUGUCACUACAGGUCUACAGUUUUGGUCUGAAGUCAAACAACAGGAUUCUCUCUUCCCAGCCCCUCCUUCAACAGGGCCACCUGGUCCUGCUCACAGAGAACUGCUACAAGGAGCAGGUGACCCUUUACAUCACUGGGAAAACUACACCAGCUUUGGGGCCCAGGCCUGCUGAAGACAAUUGGAGAAUUGCACCUUCUGGGGCAGGGCCAGAGGGGGGACAAGCAGCACCUGCGGAGCUCCUGGUUCUGCACAGAAAAGGGAGAAAGGGAACGCUUAGUCCCGUCUCUCCCUCUGUGGGCCCUGCAGUCUCCACCUAAUUACAGUAACAAAGAAUCAAAGUGCCCCGACAGCACUGUUCACAACUGCCGGGAAAACGGUGGAAACAGCCGAAGGUCCGUGCGAGGUGAAAUGGAUACACGUGUGUGUCCAGCCAGUGGGUGCGACACAGCGAGGCAGCCGAACCUCCGCAGUGCUCAUGGAAGCAGCUGCCUCUUGCAGGAAUCGUGCCCGAGUAAAGAAGGCAGACACGGGAGAUUAUCGCCUGUAUGACUUCAUUCUGAACGUAAAGUUCAAAACCAGGCAAAACUGAUCUGGGGGUGGGAGGUCCGGACAGCUGUCCCCCGUGGAAGAGGCAGUCAGUGACGUUCCGUUUCUUGUCUGGGCUGCAGUCGCACCGUGGGCUCACUUUUCCCGUGUAAUGAGGGUUCGUGCACGUUUGCGCUUGUGGAGCGUCAGUGGUGAUGGCGCCAGCGGAGGGAGUAGCCUCGUGGGGCAGACGUAGAAGGAAGUACCGGCGGGCUCGGCACACGGUUGGGUCUCGAUGAGCCGUGUUACGACGAUCCGUGUGGAACUUUGGAUGGGAAGGGCUGGGUGCUCCCCAGCGUUUGGGUCAGCUUUGAAAAGGGUGAAAGCAGGACCUUGUGCACGCUGAGCGUGUGUUCUACCCCUGAGCAUGCUCCCCCUGGCCCCCGCGGCACCGCAGUGUCUUCGUCCAGUCAUCCGCUGACAGAUUCCAGGUUGGCUUCCGUGCCUGGGCUGUUGGGAACAGUGCUGCUGUGAAUGCCGGGUGCAUGGGAGCAAUCCUGUUAAGUGCAGUCAACACACUUGCUCGUCCCCACGCCUCCCAGCCCAGACCGGGGUCAGCAUGCGAGGUCAUUGUUUCUCCAGGACGGAGUCACCCAGCCGGUCCACGUGGUUCUGGAACCAUCUAGAAACAUCUGUGGCUUUGCCCCAGGCCUGCUCCUGCUGGUGCCUCCUUCCUGCCUUCUCAGGCCAGUCUCCCCCACAUCUGUCCGCGUGCAGCAUCUCCAAUGGCCCGUCCACGGCUGGAGCAGCACCUCACCGCGGACCCAGCUUGCCACCGGCCCCGUGGCCUCACGGACAGGAGUCUGGAGAAGCCUCCCCGUGCGCUUCUGCGGGAGGCUGCGCGGUCCUCUUGCAGACAGGCUGUUGGGAGGCUGCUCUCCUUGCAUGCUGGCUGGCGGCAGGGGGCGUCAGGGCAUGAACAGCCUUGAAAACAUCUCCCCAGACGGAGCAGCUGUAGGAAAAAGGUCACGGUCAAAACCCCAUCCCGUCGGGUUGGCUUCCAGGCCAGGAAGCAGGGGACAAGCUCUGCCUGGGCCCAGUCCCUGGGCACCUGGCCUGGCAGCCUCAGCCUCCGUGUUAUUGCUGGCUCCCGGGACCGGGGCUUUCCAGUGCCCACGCCAGGGUGGCCUGCGUGGCCGGGAGCAGAUAUUUCCCUCUGUGCCAUCUGUGGGCUUGAGGGACCCUGCCCCGCAGGUGGCAGGAAGGGGUCCCCUGUGGCUGCAGCCAGUCUGGCCCUAACUUUCCACUCUUAUUUUCUUUGGCAAAGGGCCCCCGACUAACGUGACGGGGGUCGGAGGGUCUGCUCCCAGGGGCACUGGCGGAUGGCUGGUUCCCAGCUCCCCUGCUGUCUGCUCAGGUCAACACACAUUCAUAGAGCACCUGCUGUAUUUUCUUGCUUCACUUGGGAGACUUUGCUGAGUGCCUGCGGUGCGCUUGGCUCUUCUGUGUCCUGGGGAUGCAGUCUGGAGCAAAGGUGUCACUUCAAGGCUUCAGGGAAGACAAGCUAGAAAUGCAAGAAAUGUCGGAGGACCACCAGUCGUCCUGUGGUGGGGGGUGCGUGGCCAGCAGGGGGAGGCUCCAGCCCACAGAGGAUCCGUGAGGCCGCCGGGCCUCGACCAGGCCAGGGCUGCAGCUGGAAGCCGGCGGCUGACUGCACCUCCUGUGACAGCUUCUCUCUGGAAGGGCCAUUGAGCAGUGCACCCCCCACAGCUGCCACAGCAAGAUGGGGUGCCGCUGACAUCCCCCUGGGGGAGGCAGGGGACAGACCACGUACCAACCACACCGCUUCCAGUACAGUCCCAGUGCCAGUGUCUGGAAGGAAGGAUGCAUGCUCCCCCAACCCUGCUGCUGAGGAUGGGGUCAUGGUGGGGAGCCCUCUGGAGCUGCAUGCGUGAGAGAAACACCCCAGGGUGGCCAGAGCGGAGCCUGGUCCCCCGUGACCGCUUGGAGCAGAGUCUCCUCGCCAGCCCUGCACAGCACGCCUUCCCCCUGAGCGGGAGACGUGAAUUUCCGUCUUUUUCAGCCACUGGUGUUACAUGUGGCCUAACCUAUGUCUGAAUGCAUGGCCCGAGCUUUUUGUCCACAACAGGACUCUGUCCAACAAGUGGUGGCUGGAGAAAGCUGUCAUCAGUCCGCAAGCCCAGCCCUCAGCACAGAGGCUCAGUUGAGGGGAGGGAGGGCGAGCUGUCUGGGCGCACGAUGACUCUGUCCAUUGGUACAAUGUGCAUAAAGUAAAAUUUGCCAUUUUAACCAU